AAGGGAAUUUUCCUAACUGAAAACAAAUAGUUAAAGUCAAUAUUUUCUUUUCACUAUCAUAACUGUACUGUAGAUACCAUUAAAUUCUAACUUGGGAAUCAUUUAAUUCUUCCUUCUGUAUUUAUGGAGAGUUCAUGAAUCCAGACUGAUGAGCUGCAGCUCCAGUACCAAAAAGUGUUGCAGAAAGGAGGAAUAGAAAGCAGAAGCUGGAAAGAACGAUAAAACAAUCAAGACUUGACAGAAAUUAAAAUCUGCAUGAAGAUGUAUGGGAAGCACAGCCAUUCCAGCAAUAUCCCAUAUUUGCACCACCUUAGGCAUGGAAUUUAUUUCAUAUGUAUAUAUAUAUACAUAUAUUAUGCAAAGCAAAAUAUAGAAAACGUAUAUAACAACAUAAACAUAUAUAUGUAUAAAGAACUUAAAUAUAGAUGUUGUACUGUUCAAAAGUUUCUAUCCAUUCUUCCACAAUUCUUCCAUUCAUGAAGAAUUGUGAUACUUACUUCCAAUUCCCAGUCCUUAAAAUAAGCAACAAAUAUAGUUCUUUAUGGAUAUUCAGGCUCCACUUCCUGCCAAUGUCAAGGACAACAGGCUCCAAAUUUUAGGUCUUGGGAUGCAGUACAAUGUUCUGCAGCAUAAAGGCCCCAAAGCAGACAACAUAAAGAAAAUAUAAGGUGUUGAUAAGUAAAAACGCUUUUUUUUCUAACUACUUUCUGUAUUAUCUACUUCCAUUCCAUCAAGGACAUGCUGCAUGCAUAAUGAAAGUAGUCUUCUAUUACUGCUUCCUUGUAAAUACCACAAAAUGACAGUUGUGCCCCACCUGCUCUGAGAAAAGAAAUAGAAGCACAAUUGACUAUUCAGCCAGGUGCACUUCUUUCAAAACAUUUGUGGCAACGCAGCUACAAAUUAGAGGAAAUAUUUAUCAGAAGACCCACCAACUCUCUUCAUCAUCCUUUUAAGCAGCAACAGGGAAGUAGUAUCAGUACCAAACUGCCUUGAUUUCAGGCUCCUUGCACUUCUUAAUUGGCGUGAACAAGAGGAACAGUGCUUGGUCCUGAUAUCCUACCUGAAUGAUGAAGAUACUGGAGCCUCUGAAGACGCAACGGGAAGAAAGAGCCUUGCCUUCCCCAAGCUGAUUACUUCCACCUUCUCUUGAACAGAAUCUUCUUAGGUACACCUUUAAAAGGUGAUGUACCACUGAACAGGAGGAAAGUGCUUCAGACAGCUAAAUCUGGGAUAAAAAAACUAUAAAGGUAUGUAUAUCCAAAAUGUGUGUAACAUUCAGACAAAAGACUGCAUUUUUGUAAUAACAAUCUACUCCUUUCUUCCAUUUCCACAAAAAAAUGCAGAGAAGUCCUUUUUCAGAGCUCAGAAUACACGUGAAGUAUUUCAAGAUAGCAAACCCAUAGCAAAAAUUGACAACAGUGCUGCAGAUCUCAACUGAUGAGUUUCUUUACAAGUUUCAUUACUAUCUUUGAGAAGUGAAUUGGCAGCAGCUUUGUUCAAUUAACUCUGACAUAAACAAAGUAUGAGAACUAUUUAUCAGUACUUAAGCCUUUUAUCAUAUACUUUUAUCAUCCAUAAGACAUCACACACAAUAUCAAACCUCCAGUUCUGAGAGAUGAACCAACAUUUUCUAAGCACCACCACUCCUGUUCCAACAGACCGACUUGUAGACACAAAUCUCUUUAAGAAAUUUGAGUUCAGGUCCUGGAGAAAACUACAGGAGCUGCAACUUAAAAAGCUUCUGUUCUCUUACUGAUAGGUGGAGGGCAGCAGCAGAAAGAACAGUGCACUCCAUGAGGGUGGCACAGGGCUGCAUUUGAUAGUUUACACUGUAAAUGUGCCACCCCAGAUAGCUGGCGUGCAGUACUCUUCUGCUGCCACACCCAGGCACGUGCACCUGCCUACUUACUACUUCCCUUCCAACUGCCCAACUUCCAAUAGCUUCAUUCGCAUUUAAAAAGCAAUGGGGUUUGAUUUUAUGACAUUUAUUGCUACCUCACACUUAAGAUGAGCACACUUUACUAACAAAUUAACCCCAAAUUAGUUUCGCAGUUGGUGGGUUUGCUUUUCUUUCUAAGAGGUCCUAACAACAAGCAGUGGGCAGUACUCUGAUGAUAAAGGGCACUGCACAGAGGAGCAACUCUCACUAGCCAAGGACAACCCUUUUUCAAAACAGAGAUGGAGACAUUCGGAUCUGGAGAGCUUUGGUCUUAAAGGGAACUGUUUGGAAGGCCAGUGACUGCACAGCAUAUAAUUUGUAGUUUUGUCAUCUACCAAGGCAGGGAAAGAUCUGUUGGACUACCUAAAAGGCCAUUUAAAAUCCUGUCCACUUAUCUUUCAGAAAUUUGCAAAUAUCGCAUCUCCUCACUUUCUGUGGAAAGAAUAUUGAAGAAUACAGAAGCUGGUUCAAUUAUUUGUUUGAAAAUUGCCAGUUUCUUCCCAGCUAGCAAUGAGCCACUUGCAGGAAUGCAGAGGUCAGCUUUGCUGGCUUCUAUACCCAGGAAUUGCAACUUUGCCACUGAAAUGAGUAAAAAGAAACAGAAUUCAAACAAAAACCACGUUUUCCUUUCUUUAUCUUCCCUGGAACUACAACAGCACCAAAAAGCAGACUUUUGGUGACCCUUCACUCUAACAAACAUUCAGGAUUAUACAUUUAUACCUUGGGAAAUAUUAAUGAAACAUUUUUUAAUAGAAUAAUGUUACUAGCUUUAAGCCACAAAAACCCCUAGUGACUGUGCUUAUGAAGACUAUAUAAAAGGAAGUAGAGACUCUUCCUUCUCCUUCAACCAUUUUUUUCCCUCUCUUUUUCUCAACUGAGAGGCAUAUGGCCAUAGGAUACCCUUCUGUGUUCUAAUUAUAUUGCUAAAAGACAUGCCCUAGACAUUUUGUUAGGAUGGGACAGAGACAGGAUAAGGACUUCUUAUAAUAAAACAAACUGCUCUAAAAAGCCCUUCUAUCACUGUCACAUCAAACUGGAAUCAGUAGUACCACAGUGAGGACAAAAUGCUCUCAUCAUUAUAAUCUGUAGCCAGGCAAUGCUUCUUUUUUUUUUCCCCCCUGAAUAAAAUUAAGCAAUAAAACAAACAAACAAACAGAUAUCUGAUAACAUUUGCUAGGCUAAGCUUUUAUUAGCAAUGAAACCACCAGAGCCCCUUGAAGAGAGAUCGCACACCAGGGUAACUCUUAGAGAAUUUUCCCAAGACAUCCAGUUAGGUGAUCAAACUGUUUCAGACAGCCUGGACUGAGACACUGUAACCACAGUUACAGGUAGCACAGGAUGGCAAGCACAGCUCAGCCUAACAAAGAGAAACAGCUCAGAUGCUAUUCAAAUGGCCAGUUAAUAUGCCCACUACAGAAAUGCCAUAAGGCCAUUUGAUGAAGUCACCACCAAAACUCCCAUUGUGAGGAACAUUUUUAUUACAUUUGUAAGUACAGGACUUGCUGCCCUCCUUUCAUACACUGUCUCUGUACUUAGCAGUGUUAUUCUGAGUAAUUAGCACUAUCCUGGAACAACCUGAGGAUGUUACAGGAUAGCCAACUUCCUGUAUUCAAGCCCAGUGGACAGACAGGUUGCAAUCAUACUGUAUAUCGCAUAUCAAGUCUACGAAUGCAAAUGGUGCCAAAUGGCUACUAAGAUACAUUUGCAGGAUUCUACUUCAAGUGGACUUCAGCUUCCAGGACAUCUUUUAAGGAACAAUGGAAGAUACACUUUUUUCCCCCGCCCCAAAGAUCUACUUUGAAUCAGGGACCAGUCUUCUGGGAAGUUUUCCGAUUGAGUAUCAUGAUAAAGCAUUAGCAUUUGAAUCUCAAGCUGCACGUGCACAGCAAAAAA